UACGUAGGGCGCGAGCGUUGUCCGGAAUUAUUGGGCGUAAAGAGCUCGUAGGCGGUCUGUCGCGUCCGCUGUGAAAACCUAGGGCUUAACUCUGGGCGUGCAGUGGGUACGGGCAGGCUAGAGUGCGGUAGGGGAGACUGGAAUUCCUGGUGUAGCGGUGAAAUGCGCAGAUAUCAGGAGGAACACCGGUGGCGAAGGCGGGUCUCUGGGCCGUAACUGACGCUGAGGAGCGAAAGCAUGGGGAGCGAACAGG
rnacentral:rRNA from 1 species